rnacentral:rRNA from 1 species
GAAUCUACCUUGUAGUGGGGAAUAACCUGGGGAAACCCAGGCUAAUACCGCAUAAGCCCUAAGGGGGAAAGGAGGGGACCGUAAGGCCCUGUGCUAUAAGAUGAGCCUGCGUCGGAUUAGCUAGUUGGUGGGGUAAAGGCCUACCAAGGCAUCGAUCCGUAGCUGGUCUGAGAGGACGACCAGCCACACUGGGACUGAGACACGGCCCAGACUCCUACGGGAGGCAGCAGUGGGGAAUAUUGGACAAUGGGCGCAAGCCUGAUCCAGCAAUGCCGCGUGUGUGAAGAAGGCCUGCGGGUUGUAAAGCACUUUCAGUUGGGAGGAAGGCCUCAUGGUUAAUAGUUAUGAGGAUUGACGUUACCAACAGAAGAAGCACCGGCUAACUCUGUGCCAGCAGCCGCGGUAAUACAGAGGGUGCGAGCAUUAAUCGNAAUUACUGGGCGUAAAGGGCGCGUANGUGGUUACUUAAGUCANAGGUGAAAUCCCCGGGCUUAACCUGGGAAUUGCCUAUGAAACUGAGUANCUAGAGUACAGG